GCUGGGCAAGAUGACUCAUGCCUGUAAUCCCAGCACUUUGGGAGGCUGAGGCAGGAGGAUCACUUGAGCCCAGGGGUUAGAGACCAGCCUGGGCAAUAUAGUGAGACCCUGUCUCUA
rfam:Pan troglodytes isolate Yerkes chimp pedigree #C0471 (Clint) chromosome 10, whole genome shotgun sequence.